AUUAUUCUUGACAAUGUUAAACUAUUCACAGAUCUGUUAAAUUAUAGGAUCAACAUUGAAAAUUUGGUUGUUUUUUUGUUAUCACUUGUUUGUGGAUUAGAAAUCAGGGUUUCAGAUAUGGGUUGGCAUGUAACAAUAUUUACUUGUUUGACCAAGAAGAUGUAUUGGGACAUAUAGGUCAGUAUUGUUUGAUUUUUACUUUUUUAUUAUGUUUCUAAUGUUCACAGUAGGUAAAGUUUGGUAUUACCCUGUGUAGUACGAUAACAAUUCGAAUGUUUAUCAAAAUUGGUAUUAGAUCAAGAAUUAAAUCCUUAUUAGGUAUAGUUCCUUUUGACUACAUUCACUUACCUUUUAGAGCUGCAUUUUCCAAGAUAGACUUUUAAACAACAAAAAUCAAUUUUUUGUAGCAACUCAUGUGCCAGCUGUCACCAACUGUUGGAAUAGAGGCAUGAUGAUCGGUACAGCAAGGCAUUUUGUGUUCGAGAUGGAUAUUGGCAUGCGACCAAUGCCUUGAAAUUCCAAGAUAGACUUUUAAACAACAAAAUCAAUUUUUUGUAGCAACUCAUGUGCCAGCUGUCACCAAUUGUUGGAAUAGAGGCAUGCUGAUCAGUACAGCAAGGCAUUUUGUGUUCGAGAUGGAUAUUGGCAUGUGACCAAUGCCUUGAAAUGACAAUUCUUGAUUGAACUCAAGGGGACCAGUUUCACCAGGACUAGUACAUAUUGACCAGUAUUUACCGGUUUGGGCAUGAACUGAGAUUUUUACCACUCUUAUCGGGUGAUCUGUUCUUUUCUUUCUUUUUUUUCUUAAAAAGGGAAGCAGCCUUGCGAUCUGCUCUUCAUGGUUCCCCAGCCCCCUUGUUGCCUCUAGCAGACUAUCCAUUCUACUCUCAGCCCCUCAUCCAGUGCCACCAAACCACUUGCUGUUGUAGGCCCGCCUGAUCUCCCAGUAAUUUUCUUCCUCCUCUGCUUCCUCUUCUCCUCCCCCUCCUGCCCCCAUGGCAUGCGGUCUGUUCAUAUGUGCGACUUGAGUAUUGUUUAGCUAAUUAUCGACCUGUUCAGCAGCUUAAGUGCAUAACCUUUUAAGUCACUACAUCUUCUACAGCUCUUUAUUUCAAUUAAUACAACUCUUUGGUUUUGUAUAAGUUAACAGAAGAAUUAUUAUGUUUUUUA
rnacentral:lncRNA from 1 species